CAACACCUGUGAAUGCGCAGGGACCAAGUCUGGAAAUAACCCAGACCCCCAAAACACAACGCUGAAGUUCAGAUCAAAGUGCAAACGCACGCAAAAUUACAGGGAAAUUUAAAAGAAAGAAAGAACUGCGAAUAUAGGCUGAUUCGAAUGCCGCGCGAAAGGGGAAGGACCUAUACGGAAAAUAUCCCUUACCGCUAAAACACGCGGGUCAUCGGGGCAAAUAACCGGGUCGGGUCGAUAAGCCUAUGCGACGCCGUUUUGAGGCCAUGGUAGUAAGCCUCAAACGACGUCGUUUCUACACACAUAAAAACCCCCUUUUUAUGCCAAAUUUUCAUUCCUCCAAACCCUAGUCCCUCUUAUCUCCCUCUCGUCUGACCCUAGAACUCCCCCUUUAGUGCCGAUCUGCGACUAUCAGCAGAGACGAACAACCUCGGGUUCCAAAGGACGACCAUUUCGGCCGUGGGAUCCCUUCUAAACCCCGAUUUCAACGAAAUGAAGGGGAAACGAUGGCCAACUCGCAGGGUAAACCUCUCUUUCGCUUUCUUUUUUUGUUUUUGAGAUAUAUUUUGAAGUAAAAAAGAAAAUAGAGGCGUAAAAAUAAAAACAGGGAACAACCUUUGAAGAAUAUUCAACUUCUUUGUAUUUGAUUGCUAUUGUGUAUAUUCUCUAUUUUUGCAUUUUUUGUUGUGUAUUUGCGCGUCAAUGUCUCCCUUUACAAGAUUAAAAUCUGGCUUUUUAUAGCCGAAAAGAAAGAGGAAGAAUUCGAAAUAAAAUACAAUGUUUUUCUCUUGUUUGUACUUGCUGUUGGUUUCCUUGUCUGUUUGCAGGUGUGCGGGUACGGGGCCAGCUGGCAUUUGGCGUGGAGGUGUACGGAGGCGCUAGAGAUUGUUGAGGUUGCUGCGGCGCAAGGGAGAGAACCCUAGGGUUCUUCCUGUUCUAAAAUCUUUGGGCCAUUUGGGCCGGUGUAAUUUUGGUGUUGGGCCAAGGCAUUGGUUUGGGUAUUGGGUUAGGGUAUAAGUUUGGGCAUUGGGUCACUGUAAUUGGACUUAGGUAUUGGGCUGUAAAUAGAAUAUUAAUGGACUGUUUUGUUUAUUCUUUUUUCUUGGUUUAUUUUGGGUUUCAAAAGUGGCCGGGCAAAUUGGCCUAUCUACAAUAAAUAAAUAAAUAGACCUAAAUUUACUUAAAUUUUCACAUGUAAUUUAGAUAGGUGAAAGCACAAAGAUCCUUGCUAUGAUCUUUAACUUGUUAGUGACAUCUUUUACCAUGCACCAAAUCUUUGAUCUUUAUCUCAAAAGCUUCAUUUUUUUUAGACAAAGAAAAAAAAUUAUAUCUGAAGAUUUUGAUCCUAAACUUCUUUUUACUUUUUAGCCUUUUAAUUUAUUUCAAAAUCAAAAUUUAUUAAGUCAUGAUGAUGAUACGCAGCAAUAAAUAGACAAAAGACAAUGAAAGAACAAAAGAAAUAUAAACAAAAAAUAACAAGGUCAUAAAAAAAAACCAAGGAAAAUGAGGAUACAUAGCAAUAAAUAAAAAAAAUAAAAAAAAUAAAUCACAAAUACAAUAGAAGAGAUGAGUUUAACGAAAAGAAGAUGAGAAAAAGAAGAGGAGGGAGAAUAGAAAGAAAAAAAAUGGAAGAAAGAAAAAUUAGAGAAAAUAAAUAAAUAGGAAACAACAACAAAGUUAGAGAAAAUAAAUAAAUAGGAAACAACAACAUUUCAUUAAAUUUAUCGAGGGAUUAAUUAAAUCAAUCUAUUUAAUUAAUAAAAGUUACCAAAUUAACAAUUUUUUAAAUUAUAAAAAUAGAAAUAACUUAAAUUUAAAGUGGUUAAUAGGGUAGUUUAUCAUAAUAAUAAUUUCGGAGGCAAAUAAACUAUAAAAAUCUAUAAAAAUAUGACAUAAGUAUUCUUAGUUUUUGUAAAUUUAGAAUUUAAUCAUUAUAUUAUUAUUUUUAAGAAUUU
rnacentral:lncRNA from 1 species